rnacentral:rRNA from 1 species
UUAAGCGACUAAGCGUACACGGUGGAUGCCCUGGCAGUCAGAGGCGAUGAAGGACGUGCUAAUCUGCGAUAAGCGUCGGUAAGGUGAUAUGAACCGUUAUAACCGGCGAUUUCCGAAUGGGGAAACCCAGUGUGAUUCGUCACACUAUCAUUACGUGAAUACAUAGCGUAAUGAAGCGAACCGGGGGAACUGAAACAUCUAAGUACCCCGAGGAAAAGAAAUCAACCGAGAUUCCCCCAGUAGCGGCGAGCGAACGGGGAGCAGCCCAGAGUCUGAAUCAGCUUGUGUGUUAGUGGAACGGUCUGGAAAGUCCGACGGUACAGGGUGAUAGUCCCGUACACCAAAAUGCACAGGUUGUGAACUCGAAGAGUAGGGCGGGACACGUGGUAUCCUGUCUGAAUAUGGGGGGACCAUCCUCCAAGGCUAAAUACUCCUGACUGACCGAUAGUGAACCAGUACCGUGAGGGAAAGGCGAAAAGAACCCCGGCGAGGGGAGUGAAAAAGAACCUGAAACCGUGUACGUACAAGCAGUGGGAGCCUCUUUAUGGGGUGACUGCGUACCUUUUGUAUAAUGGGUCAGCGACUUAUAUUCUGUAGCAAGGUUAACCGUAUAGGGGAGCCGAAGGGAAACCGAGUCUUAACUGGGCGUUAAGUUGCAGGGUAUAGACCCGAAACCCGGUGAUCUAGCCAUGGGCAGGUUGAAGGUUGGGUAACACUAACUGGAGGACCGAACCGACUAAUGUUGAAAAAUUAGCGGAUGACUUGUGGCUGGGGGUGAAAGGCCAAUCAAACCGGGAGAUAGCUGGUUCUCCCCGAAAGCUAUUUAGGUAGCGCCUCGUGAAUUCAUCUUCGGGGGUAGAGCACUGUUUCGGCUAGGGGGUCAUCCCGACUUACCAACCCGAUGCAAACUGCGAAUACCGAAGAAUGUUAUCACGGGAGACACACGGCGGGUGCUAACGUCCGUCGUGAAGAGGGAAACAACCCAGACCGCCAGCUAAGGUCCCAAAGUCAUGGUUAAGUGGGAAACGAUGUGGGAAGGCACAGACAGCCAGGAUGUUGGCUUAGAAGCAGCCAUCAUUUAAAGAAAGCGUAAUAGCUCACUGGUCGAGUCGGCCUGCGCGGAAGAUGUAACGGGGCUAAACCAUGCACCGAAGCUGCGGCAGCGACACUAUGUGUUGUUGGGUAGGGGAGCGUUCUGUAAGCCGUUGAAGGUGUGCUGUGAGGCAUGCUGGAGGUAUCAGAAGUGCGAAUGCUGACAUAAGUAACGAUAAUGCGGGUGAAAAACCCGCACGCCGGAAGACCAAGGGUUCCUGUCCAACGUUAAUCGGGGCAGGGUGAGUCGACCCCUAAGGCGAGGCCGAAAGGCGUAGUCGAUGGGAAACAGGUUAAUAUUCCUGUACUUGGUGUUACUGCGAAGGGGGGACGGAGAAGGCUAUGUUAGCCGGGCGACGGUUGUCCCGGUUUAAGCAUGUAGGCGGAGGUUCCAGGUAAAUCCGGUACCUUUUUAACGCUGAGGUGUGAUGACGAGGCACUACGGUGCUGAAGUAACAAAUGCCCUGCUUCCAGGAAAAGCCUCUAAGCAUCAGGUAACACGAAAUCGUACCCCAAACCGACACAGGUGGUCAGGUAGAGAAUACCAAGGCGCUUGAGAGAACUCGGGUGAAGGAACUAGGCAAAAUGGUGCCGUAACUUCGGGAGAAGGCACGCUGAUAUGUAGGUGAAGUGAUUUACUCAUGGAGCUGAAAUCAGUCGAAGAUACCAGCUGGCUGCAACUGUUUAUUAAAAACACAGCACUGUGCAAACACGAAAGUGGACGUAUACGGUGUGACGCCUGCCCGGUGCCGGAAGGUUAAUUGAUGGGGUUAUCCGUAAGGAGAAGCUCUUGAUCGAAGCCCCGGUAAACGGCGGCCGUAACUAUAACGGUCCUAAGGUAGCGAAAUUCCUUGUCGGGUAAGUUCCGACCUGCACGAAUGGCGUAAUGAUGGCCAGGCUGUCUCCACCCGAGACUCAGUGAAAUUGAACUCGCUGUGAAGAUGCAGUGUACCCGCGGCAAGACGGAAAGACCCCCGUGAACCUUUACUAUAGCUUGACACUGAACACUGGUCCUUGAUGUGUAGGAUAGGUGGGAGGCUUUGAAGUGUGGACGCCAGUCUGCAUGGAGCCAUCCUUGAAAUACCACCCUUUAAUGGCUGGUGUUCUAACGUGGACCCGUUACCCGGGUUGCGGACAGUGUCUGGUGGGUAGUUUGACUGGGGCGGUCUCCUCCUAAAGAGUAACGGAGGAGCACGAAGGUUAGCUAAUCCUGGUCGGACAUCAGGAGGUUAGUGCAAAGGCAUAAGCUAGCUUGACUGCGAGAGUGACGGCUCGAGCAGGUGCGAAAGCAGGUCUUAGUGAUCCGGUGGUUCUGAAUGGAAGGGCCAUCGCUCAACGGAUAAAAGGUACUCCGGGGAUAACAGGCUGAUACCGCCCAAGAGUUCAUAUCGACGGCGGUGUUUGGCACCUCGAUGUCGGCUCAUCACAUCCUGGGGCUGAAGUAGGUCCCAAGGGUAUGGCUGUUCGCCAUUUAAAGUGGUACGCGAGCUGGGUUUAGAACGUCGUGAGACAGUUCGGUCCCUAUCUGCCGUGGGCGCUGGAGAAUUGAGGGGGGCUGCUCCUAGUACGAGAGGACCGGAGUGGACGCAUCACUGGUGUUCGGGUUGUCAUGCCAAUGGCAUUGCCCGGUAGCUAAAUGCGGAAGAGAUAAGUGCUGAAAGCAUCUAAGCACGAAACUUGCCCCGAGAUGAGUUCUCCCUGAGACUUUAAGUCUCCUGAAGGAACGUUGAAGACGACGACGUUGAUAGGUCGGGUGUGUAAGUGUAGCGAUACGUUGAGCUAACCGAUACUAAUGAACCGUGAGGCUUAACCUU